GUGAGGAAUAUUGGUCAAUGGGCGCAAGCCUGAACCAGCCAUGCCGCGUGCAGGAAGACGGUCCUAUGGAUUGUAAACUGCUUUUAUUUGGGAAUAAACUCCGGUACGUGUACCGGCCUGAAGGUACCAAAUGAAUAAGCACCGGCUAACUCCGUGCCAGCAGCCGCGGUAAUACGGAGGGUGCAAGCGUUAUCCGGAAUCCUUGGGUUUAACGGGUCCGCAGGCGGUCUUAUAAGUCAGUGGUGAAAGCCUACAGCUCAACUGUAGAACUGCCAUUGAUAAUGUAGGACUUGAAUUCGAUCGAAGUGGGCGGAAUGUGACAUGUAGCGGUGAAAUGCUUAGAUAUGUCGCAGAACACCGAUAGCGAAGGCAGCUCACUAGGUCUGGAUUGACGCUCAGGGACGAAAGCGUGGGGAGCAAACAGGAUUAGAAACCCCAGUAGUCC
rnacentral:rRNA from 1 species